rnacentral:rRNA from 1 species
GCCAGUAGUCAUAUGCUUGUCUCAAAGACUAAGCCAUGCAUGUCUAAGUAUCAUCCGAAACUGCGAAUGGCUCAUUAAAACAGUUAUAGUUUACUUGAUAUUGCAUUUUACAUGGAUAACCGUAGUAAUUCUAGAGCUAAUACAUGCGUUACGCCAAACUUCUGGAAUGGCAGUAUUUAUUAGAUAACAAAUCAAUAUUCCUCUGGUCUAUUUGAUGAUUCAUAAUAACUAGCUUAUCGAAUCGCUGGGUUGUACCCGCGAUAAAUCAAUCAAGUUUCUGCCCCAUCAGCUUGAUGGUAGUGUAUUGGACUACCAUGGCUUUUACGGGUAACGGGGGAUUAGGGGUUCGACACCGGAGAGGGAGCCUGAGAAACGGCUACCACUUCUACGGAAGGCAGCAGGCGCGUAAAUUACCCAAUCCUAAUUCAGGGAGUAGUGACAAGAAAUAAUAGACCGGCGUAAGCCGGGUUUACAAUGAGCCUAAUUACACAGCUUAGUGAGGAUCG